UGUGAUGUGUAGUUCUUCUUCUCUGUGCUCCACAUGAUAUCAUGAUGUGGAAUACCAAUAAGAAAAAAUUACAAAACCAUGACAGAGACCCUGAAGAUCACUUAAUAUUCAAAUUGCAUAGAUUUACAUGAAUAAAUAAUUACUGAUAAUAAUACCAGACAACACAUAUAUAUAUAACAUUUAUUGAACUUACCUUGCCAGGUAGAUAACUCAGAAACUCAUUCUAUUUUAGGGAAUAGUUGUCCGCAGUUGUGUCAGAUCCAAAAGAGACAAAAGGUUUCAAUAAGGAAAUCUAAAGGUGGCAUCUAUUUGUAAAUUUGGUGGUAUGGAAAUACCUGCAAAGUUCUUCCACUGAACCACUGCCUUUUAUUUUAUCCCUUGGACAAAAAUAAUAAAUGUAGUUUGUAAAAAUUUUCUUAGCUGACAGCACAAUCCACUAAUUCCUUCCAAGUCACUUCCAUCUUUCAUUGUUUAACUUACCAUCUGUUCAUUCCUACCUACAGCCACUGAAGUAAAUGAGAGACAUGAAGCCAAUUCCUUUUUGCUGUUCUAAGCAUUUAGAUAUACAUACAACAAACCUUUCAAACGAAUCUCAAAAAAUGAAAUGAAACAAAUUACAUAGAAUUUCAUGGGGAAACACGUAAUGUUAUAUUAAUCCAGUUCACAGUGCUGAUUUGUACAGUUUUUGCCAUUUUAAUUUGUCUUACAAUUUUAAUGUAGGAUAUCAGGAAGAGUAUAGAGUGUAUAUAAAGGACAGAAAGGAAAGAAGAAAUGUUUAUGCUGUAUGCGAGUAACUUUUUGACUACACAAAGCUCCAGCAUACAGCCAAAGAUAUGGCUGUCAAAACUCUGGAAAGAACAUUGGUGUUGUGCUCCUGAUGGUUUGUUACCAAUCACCUCAUCAACAGGAUGCAGAAGAUGAGGGCUGGCAGCCAGAGAACUUCUAGUAAAGGUUGAAAACAUUAAGACUGAAACACUUGAUGCCUUUUUGCCUCACAUUUCAGUAGCAAAAUCUUGCAGAUUUCCAUGCAGGCAGGCCUGUUUAGGGAAGGAGAACUGUAACUAGUUGCAAAGACCUCAACCAUUUGGAGAUCACCCAGAAAACUUGGAUGUAUUGAAAUCCAGGAUGAUGUUGGAUGAUGCUCAACCUGCAUGAUGCUAGACUGUCAAGGUAAUGGUUAUGAGGAAAGAUUUCUGAUGGUUGCAAAGUCUGAUGUUAUAUUAAUUCUCUCACAGUGCAAAUGCAACAGGAACCAAGGAUUUAGAGUUUUAAGCCUGUGAAGUAUAUAUUUCCACCUUUUCUAAAUGUGCUACAGAUGAGAAAGUGCCCAAAAGAUCCUAUGUGAAUUUAGCAAAGUUAGCCCAAACUUGUUGCGCCUGAUUGCCAUUUAUGUUUAAAUGAUUGGCUUUGAAUACAGGUGGAAAGCAGUCAUUGUAAAGCACCUUGAAAAUUCAGGCAAAGAGUAAAACCCCCUGGGAAUCUGUCCUCAAGAACAAGUGAGUGGAGCAGUUAUUUCUGCAUGCAUGUAUUUCUUACAAUGAGAAAAAGUAUGCACUUAGACAUUUGAAAUGAACAUGACAGGAAAUGAGGAAACAGCAUCAUGUCAACUAAAUUCUUCUCAAAAAUGAUAACUAGCACAUAUACAAAAGCAAGAAUGGAAAAUUAGCAUUUUCUGAAAUCUUUCUUUGGAAUUAUGUGCCAUCUUAGGCAAAUGAGGUACAUAAGCGUGACAGAGCACAGUGACAUCAUCUGGGAGCAAGCUAUGAAAAGGAAACAUUUCUUUGAUAUAGUAAAUCAUUCUGUUCCUGUUGCUGUUUUCUCUAUGAGAAUUUAGUCUUAGUCAAAGUGUAGAAGAAAUGUGAAGUCACCUCUUGAAACAGUGAUUGAAUAUCUGAUGGAAAUGCAGGACCAAGCCAGGAGAGCUCAGGUGCAUGCAAUGCAAUGCACCUGAGUAACUGGGAGGAGUGGACCCAGAAUCCACCUCUUCCCAGACCUCAUUUAUGGGUUUGCAGUGGAGGCAAGGGUAUCUUUUUGGAGAUUCCUGUGUGCCUGAGAUCUUCUAAUGGUAAGCAGAUUCUUUCCUUUGUUUUUGUUCCUGCUGUGUUUGAGCAUGUCUUCAGUUGCUGCAGUCUGGGACUGCUAUUCUGCUGUUAUUGCUGUACUUUCUGUUGUGUUACAGCAUUGUACAAAGCAAUGCACAUCAUGUACAAUCUUUGCCUCAUUCCAGCAAGUUCUAACAUUCCAGUCUUCUCAAGUGCCCAAGCAGGAUCUUGCAUGGCUGAUGCAUUCACAGUUUGACAAAUGGGACAGGAAAUGCUGUGUGACGGUGUGCUGGUUAUGCAACACAGCAUCUGACUAUUCCAGUCAAAUGGUUUUCUUUAUUUUAAUUGAGAAAGAUACGAAUGGUGUAAUAGUGUGUUGUUAUUUUUUGCUUAUUGCAUAAUAAAUGUAAUAAUAAAACAGUCUCAUUUAAUCACUGUAUACAUACGUACAUGUAUGAAAACCCAGAGAAAGCAAGCAUGAGUAUGUUUUGAAAUGUAGAAGGCAUGGAGAACUACUAACACAUUUAUGACUAUUUUAAAUGACUAUGAAUUAUUCUAAAAUACAUCAGCUUGCUUAGUCAUUGUUGUGAAUGAAUUGAAAACAGAAAAUUUCUGUAGUGCUUCGUUGAGGUUUGGACUAGGCUUUCCUUACUCAUCCAUUUUUAUUUAUUCAUCUAUUUUAAUUAAUAAUAGAGUAUCUAUUUUUAGUAUUACAUUUUUACUCUUCAAGAUGAUUUAAAGGGUUAUGGUUUUUUGUGUGUGUGGGUUUUUUUUUGUUUUUUUGUUUUUUUUUUUUAAUUUUGUUUUGUAUUUCUGUUAGAGUGUUUGGUUUAAGUAAAUAUUUUUCUAUUCCCUUUUUCCUGGGAGAGAUUUCCUAUUUUGUAAAUAUCAUUAUUUUUCACUCAAUAUAUUGGCUUUAAGGCUAAAUGAACAGUGCAGGGAACUAAAUGUGUGUUAUUUGUCUUUCUCUGUGACAAAGAGUUAAUAUGAAAAAUUACCUUUUUUUUCUUGGACGAAUUUUGCAUUCAUUUUACUUCCCUAAACAUGUUAUUUUAAAUUGAAAACAGUUGUAUCUCACUGUAGUGACAGAUGUCUUCCGUUGGGUCAUAUGACCCCUGAGUGCAAGCAAUCUGUACAUGCACUAUGUUUUCCCGAAGACAGUGUAUUAUUGUUCCUUCAUUGCUAUGAGAACAGUAUGUGUCCUGGCAGCAGUUUUGUAUGAAGUAUUCAUUCAGAUGAAACAUCAGGACAUCAUACCUUUGUCAGUUUUGUACUGGAUGAACACACUUCACAAAUAUACUGUGUCUGCUUGUAUAGUCUUUUCAAAUAAAUAAAUAAACCUGGCAUUUCACUUCAGCGAAUUAUAUUGUAUGAGAAUAAGGGCAAAGGACUGACUUAGAGUCUCUUCUGUUUGUGCUUCUUAGUAAUGUGGAGAGGCUAUGUUAUAUUCUAUUUCACUGAAGACUACAUCCAGUUUAUAGUGUAUGCCUUGGUGUGUAAGACUUGUAAGGAAUGUGGGGGAAAUCUGUGAAUUUUUGUCGUUGAACUUCCAGAUAAACUACUGAAAUACCAGAUUAUUACAAGCUUUACAAGUUUCCAUCUAGGCACCAAGAAGAGAUAGAAGUGAAGGAAAAGCAAAACAUCAUAGACUGCUAACAGAAAAUUCUUAAAAGAUGAACCAUUUUUGUUCCAGCUAGCAAUCUGAAGAUUCUGUUACUGCAAGGUCUCUGAAUAGCACCCAGAAGAUGGAAAGUAUCUGCUUUUGAGUUGAAACCGGUACAUUUUUGGAGAACAUACUGUAGUGCAGGAAGGUUGUGGAGUGCUGUUGCCUGUCUUUCUGCUGAGGAUCAGUGUAAGCUCUGGGCCCAGGAAAUAUUUUUUGAGUGAUCUCUGUGUAAGAGGGGAGGUGGAAGUUUUGGUCUGCAUCUGCAUCCUUCUGUGCUAGUUCCUGGCCAACUGCAAAGCCCUCAGCUGCUGCUGCCCUGUUUCCGCAUAUGGCACCUGUGACUGUGAGAAUGAACCUGUUAUAUCUGCCAAGACUCUAGGAAGCAGCUUCUAAGAAAGAAUGAAUGCAGCUUCAAGAAAAUGUGUGGAAUAUCAGAAUUAAUCAAGACUAGAACAAGAAGAUUUGGAUUUGAUGAAGAAAAAUGCAUAUUUGAAACACCUGAAGCUGUGGUUCCAAGUACACUUUCAGCUAGUACUGCUGCCAUAAGCAGCAGUCCUGACCUCCUUCUUUACCUGACAGCUUAUUCUUACUCUGCUUUGUUUCCUCCCUUGGGCUAGCAGAUAUGUUUGAGCUGGUGCUUACUGAACUACAUCAGGGAACCUAUCAGAGGUAGAACUGCCUACUUUAGAAUUUUUUUCCCUGUUGCCUACUGUGGUUUCUUAAUUUCAGAGACAUUUACUUUUUUUUCUGUUUUUCUGCAAAACUUAGCAUAAUUUAUUCCUGGUCCAUGCUUUGUACCAGAAAGUGCCAAACUGAUAUGCAUUACAGCUCUUUCUAAAAUAAUACUAUUUUGCUUUGAUCUUCCCAUAUGUUCCCACCUCUCUUAACUGUAGAACUGCAGGCUUUACUGUUUUUUGUUUUUGUUUUUAAAUUACUUUUUUCUUCAAAAUACUGUUCCUCAGCUUCUCUACUACAGCACUGCAAUCCUUUGUAGGGCUUCAGUGGUCAUCAGCCAUGGAAAUGAUGGUGUUUGUAAACAUUUGUAUGAAAUUGGAGUGAAUCUGCCCUGGGAUUUUGUCAACAGUCCCUUAACUUUUCAUCUCCAUAAGCAGCUUUGUAUUCCCACAAUCAUUCAGAGUUUUUUUUUUCCUUAUGUGUAUCCCUGUUUGUAUACGUGUGGUUAAAAUAUGACUAAGAGUGGGAUUAUUAUUUGUCCAAGUUCAAUAAACAGUUAUGUACAUUAUGUCCAGAAACAGCAUAUGUGAGUGUGAGGCUGAAAGUUCCUCGGCAAAACUGAUGAAGAGAGUCAAAAUUAGAGAAUUGUGUCCACAUGAAAUAGAGAAAUACAUCUUAAGAUGUAUAAAUUCAUACAAUAGGUCAAAUCUCAAGCUGAGAGAACAUUAUACAUUAUGAUGUUGCAACCUCUUUGUAAUGAAACAUUUUCAAUUAAUUUACUAACCAAUUUCACUUAAAAAAAACCAAAAACUUGAAAGCUACAUGAAAUACUCGACAUUAUUAUCUUUCUUGCAGGUGUGCACAUAAACAGUGUAUGACUGCAUUUUUAUUUGGAUGGGAAGAAAUUUAACUCAUUGAGGGAGAUAUUUAUUGCACAUUUAGCUAGAAGGAGGAGAGGUCUCACAGUAAAUCUAUGGCUGUCAGUACUGAAAAGUUCAACUGGUUAAUUGGAAAGAGGAAUCAUAGUCCAAAGAUCUUUAAUAAUAGUCUUCAGCAGAAAUGAAUUAAACAUGCAAAUACAGAAAAAAUUUCAUUUUACACACAGUACAUUUUGGAAUUUUCUUCAUGGAUCACUAGGAAAUUUAAUGGCCUUUCACUCCCAAGGACACUCUUCAAAUUAAAACUGUGUAAACCUGCACAAAAUUAUGUUUUAAAUUUACAUUAAAGUUGUAUAACCUUGGAGAUCUCCCUCUGAGAACUUGACAAGAUUAUAACAUUUUUGGCUGGACAACAAAGUUUUCACACAUAAGAUAUAUUUGCUAUAUUAGUACUUCUUAUUCCCUUUAGUAAUAAAAGAUUCUACCCAAAGGAAUGUGAGAAAUACUCUGUACCAUUACACUGCAAAUAAUACUAGGGGUAUGGUGUGAACAGUGGGAAAAGAAACUCACAUUUUAAAUGAAGUUUACCUGAGGAGUUUUAUUCCACCAUGCAAUUUGAAAGACAGAUAAAAUUAGUUUAUUUCAAUAAGUAGAAUUAUUUUAUGUGUGCAAGAUGAGGUGAAGAAGCAAAAUUCUGCUAAUAAUUUUCAUUGAACAAAUUUUCAAAUGCACAGCAUUUUUCUGAGAUACUUUGCUCAUCUGACCAAUUGAAUAAUUUCUCUAAACUGCACAUUUUUCUUUGACAGUGAUCUAACUGAAAACCAUAUCUCUUUGUCUAAAGUGGGAAUUUUAGAAUGAAAAAUAAUCACAGACAUGGAUAUACACCCCCCUGUUGGUAUUCUUUGAAGGGAGUGUAUUCCUUUUUCUUGUUCACCUGUGCUUGUUUAUUGUGCUCUGUAUUGAUCUCUCUCUUCUGUUACAUUGUAGGUGGGUGAGUGAAAGCAGCCCUAUGCUAAAGUGGCUUUUGCUUUCAGGAACAAAUAGCUAGGGCUCCCUCAUUACAUUUUUAUAACAUGAGGAUUCAGCAUGAGAUGCAAUGCAUCAUCUCUCUGUCACAUCAUAUAACUAAACAGAACCUCAGUGGAGAUCAUAAAUAUGCUCUUUUGGAAUAAUAUUGCUCUUGGCAGUAAUCUUACUCCUUAUUGGAAGUUUGUACUAAACAUAGAUUCUUCUUUUUGAUUUUCCUUACCAUUUAGAUAUUGCUCCUCUAGGUUUUCUAAUCAAAACAGGAUGAAAUGCUAUCCGGCUGUGAAUACUGCGUGAAUAAAACACCCAAAUGUAUAAAUAAAGAAGUUAUCUCCACUUGCUCUAGAACAACAAAAAAGAAACAGAAUGACCCCUAUAAGGUCUGUGAGAUGGUAUGUACAGAUCCUACUUCAGCAUUCUCACCAUGGCAUGAUCUCUACAAAUAAUACAAAACCUGCUGAUGGUAGUUGUUAUCAAUAAUUCAUGACAGAUAGAUCUUUUGUUCUAAAUAGUAUCUGACUGUUGGUUUUGUUUGUUUGUUUGUGUGUUUGUUUUCUUUUUUGGUUUUGUUUUAUUUUUUGCCAUUCCCAAAACAGAAUAAAGCCUACUCACCACUUAACGAUUCUUUCCUAUAGUCCUAAUCAUAUAUCCAAGAGAACAGUGAAGCACAGCAGAUGAUUGAAGUGUGCAGCUGGAGAUGAGCUUGAGCAAGAGAGAUGGGAAGCUGGGAAAAAAAGUCACAGAAGCAGGAAAAAACCAUGCUGUGCUACAUUAGCAGGUUUUAUUUUGUAUUAGAAAAAGAAACCUUUUUAUCAUUUCUUAAUACUACUUUUUACCCUUCUUUUUGAGAAGUCUUCUUUUCUGUGGAUACCUCCAUUAGUUAUUUUUCCACAAACUUCACUACAGUUUUGUAGUUCAUUGUAGUACAGCCUCAGGCUUUCGAGGCCUUGAAAUAAAACACAAUCUAAGGAUAAAUAUAGACAUUAAACAUAAAAUUUGCAGUUCUCUCCAGAUUAAGGAGCAGUGAUUUCACAAUGAUUUUCAAAACCAGAUUUUCUUGUUGGUAAGCCGUGAGUGCCUGGGUAUAUUUCAAAACUGAAAUAUAUCUCUAAUUUAAAAGCUAUCCACUUCCAUUUGCAUUUUUCCCAUAGCACAGACAAAAGAAAUAUCAACUGUCAAAUGAACCAAACAAAUAAAUAAGGAAAAGGUACAGAUGAUAUGAUCUGUCUGGUGUGUCUCCCAUCCCUCAAAGGGGGCCAAAAUGUAAGUGGACACCAGAGAAACUAAAGACCAGAAUAUUUUGCUGCAGGUUGAGGGCAAUCUGAUCUCUCAAUCCAGCUGCUACUUAUAAGUGCAUGUUAUGUUAAUUACUUACAUAAAUUAUUUAAUGUUUAUAUUUACUUUGUGACACUUUGACUUUCAGUAUGAUAAGAAAAUAAUGACUUAGAAGGACAAUAUUUAUUUAAUGGGCUUUAAUGAUGAAGGUCUUAAACAACUGAAUUGUUCUGGUCACAUAUGUGAAAGUUUUGUGACAGCUCCAAUUUGUUCUGUGGAUAUAAUACAGAGAUGACAUUCAUCUUCUAUUGUCUCAUUGCCUCUUAUUGCAAAGUGCAAUUUAAAUACUUUCAAAUUUAGGAACAUAAUUCAAUAAGUACUUUCAGUAAAUGUGAUUUUCAUUGCACCCUUUUCUUUGGAGAGACUCAAGACCUGAACAUUAACCAAAAAAGUAACAGCAAAACAACAAAAGAUGGCUGAUGGUGGGAAAUCUUAGUAAACAAUAGCUGCAUCUGAAAAAUAUUGUCAUUAAAAGCUAUGUAGUAGUUAAUUGAGUCUGAUAUGAAAUUUAGUGCUGGAAAGUUAAUGACUAAUGCAGCUAUUUCACACAGCUUGGUCACUGCAGGCUCUAUAAUGAUCUCCUUUGCUUCACAGCAACAAUGAAAUUAACCUCUCUUUUGUCCUGCAGGUGUUGUGUUCUGAUAAUGCAUAUCGUUUACAAGUAUAAGCAAAUUAUUUGCUUUGCAUACAAAUUGAGCAUAAGCUGAAUCCAUAUGGAAAAGAAAAUAAACAGUUAGAUUUUUAAGAUAAAGGAUAUACACUUAAAUGUAAGUCAAAAUUCAGGAAGUUGGUAUCUUGGUUGACUUAAAAUAAGAGAUCAGAUAGGAUUAUUGUUUUUCUGAAUAUCCGCGUAUAUUAUUCUGUUGCCUUAAAACCUCUUCUUACAUAAAGCUAAAGGCCUCAUUUCAGUGUACGAAACAAAGGAAACCCAGAAUUUUAAGUAGGGUUGCAUAAAAAGUGGUAUUAGGAAGGUGAGAGGAAUUUUGUUAGCUUUUGAUGAUCAGAGUAUCUACUGGGUUAAAGGAAAUUCAUUUAUAGUUUAGAGAGGAGAACCUACAAGUGAGAGGGAGAGAUUUUACUGUGGUGUCAGAUUUCUUCAAUAUCCUUGCAGUCUGUAAAGUAAUGAAAAAUUAGGUCAAAAAUCAAAACGAAAAAUAAAUAGGAAAAUGGUGAGAAUAUUUCAAAGGAAAAAAACAGGAAAUAAAAAAGGAUAUGAAUAGAAUGAGUAAGGUAA